rnacentral:rRNA from 1 species
AGGUGUGAUCAUACCAGCACUAAUGCACCGGAUCCCAUCAGAACUCCGAAGUUAAACGUGCUUGGGCGAGAGUAGUACUAAGAUGGGUGACCUCUUGGGAAGUCCUCGUGUUGCACCCC